rnacentral:rRNA from 1 species
UACAGAGGUCUCAAGCGUUGUUCGGAUUCAUUGGGCGUAAAGGGUGCGUAGGCGGCGCGGUAAGUCGGGUGUGAAAUCUUGGAGCUUAACUCCGAAACUGCAUUCGAUACUGCCGUGCUUGAGGACUGGAGAGGAGACUGGAAUUUACGGUGUAGCGGUGUAAUGCGUAGAUAUCGUAAGGAAGACCAGUGGCGAAGGCGGGUCUCUGGACAGUUCCUGACGCUGAGGCACGAAGGUCAGGGGAGCAAACGGG